AACUCCGUUUGUUCCUUUGUUUUUAAGUGUUUUGCUUUGCUUUGGGUAUGGAGUUUUCUUCAUUACCCCAAACCAUCUGUGUAAGGUAUCAGCCAGAACAGGUUUUUUUAUGCAGGGAAGUUUUGAAGUCCUUCCUAAGCCUUAGGCACUGUUACUUUUCAAAUCUCCACCCUACAUCUUAAGAAAUGUACCAAUAUCCUAUAUUUAAUCUAACACAUAGUUAUAAAUAGAGUUGAAUUGCUGUUGAAAUAUUAUGUGUUGUAAGUAGCUACCUAAAUGUUAAUUUUGAUUUUUAAAAAUUUUCAUGUUUUGGCCAUUUCACUUUCUGGUUUUUCUUCAUGUCUCACACACUUUUGUGGGCCCUGGAAAAGCUCAUAGAACCUGGGUCUAUGGCUGUAGUGUAGGACUGCUGUGUCAGGAGGAAUUCAGGUGUUCCUCAGCCCUGCAGUUAUUCACACAUUGAUGGAGGCUGUGAUGUGUCUCAUGACACACAUGUUGCUGGAUUUACAAAAAUAAACCAUAAAUAAACGACUGCAGUACAGCAUGGCCAGGUGCUAUGGAUGGAGAAGGGCCUUUGGCUGAGCUGGGGCAGAGGAGGAGCUGACUGUGACGCUGUCCUGGAGCAGAUGGUCCCAGGCCAGAUUUUAGAGGAUGCCUUCAAGUUCUUGUGCACAUAUGUGAGAGAUUCCCUAGGGUACCUGCUUAUGAAUGAAAUUGCUGCAUCAAAAGAUAUCCCUUUGAAGACCAGCCUGCCACCACCAUUCAGAAAUUAUGAAUAUGAUAAACUAAAGAUUGUUCAUCAAGCACAUAAAUCAAAGACAAAUGAACUUGUGUUAAGUUUGGAAGAUGAUGACAAACUCCUUUUAAAAGAAGACAGCACCCUGAAAGCAGCUGGAAUCGACUAUGUGGAGGCAGGAUGAAGAUUUUGAGACAUCUGAGCAGCUGAAGGCAUUAUGCCUCAGAUAUACCUUUGUGCCAAUGAAACUGAAAUUGCAUUCUUCUGUGAAGAAGACUAUAAGAACUACAAGGCUAAUCCCAUCUCAUCCUGGUGAAAACCUCAUGGGGCUUCCUUUUUGCAUACUUGUAUUAAGCUCUUUAUUCCACUAGUGAGUUUUUGAAAUUGAUAGAUAAACUGAAAAAAAUUAAUCCCAGGCUCUGCCAUUUGAUGUAAAAUCUGUAAAAAUAAAAUGUUUUUAUUUUUUUUAA